rnacentral:rRNA from 1 species
AUUGAACGCUGGCGGCAUGCCUUACACAUGCAAGUCGAACGGUAACGGGCCUUCGGGUGCCGACGAGUGGCGAACGGGUGCGUAAUACAUCGGAACGUGCCCGAUCUUGGGGGAUAACGAGGCGAAAGCUUUGCUAAUACCGCAUACGAUCUACGGAUGAAAGCAGGGGACCGCAAGGCCUUGCGCGGACGGAGCGGCCGAUGGCAGAUUAGGUAGUUGGUGGGAUAAAAGCUUACCAAGCCGACGAUCUGUAGCUGGUCUGAGAGGAUGAUCAGCCACACUGGGACUGAGACACGGCCCAGACUCCUACGGGAGGCAGCAGUGGGGAAUUUUGGACAAUGGGCGCAAGCCUGAUCCAGCCAUGCCGCGUGCAGGAUGAAGGCCUUCGGGUUGUAAACUGCUUUUGUACGGAACGAAAAGCCUUCUUUUAAUACAGGAGGGUCAUGACGGUACCGUAAGAAUAAGCACCGGCUAACUACGUG